rnacentral:tRNA from 2 species
GAUAAGGUCAGCUAAUUAAGCUUUCGGGCCCAUACCCCGAACAUGACGGUUAAAAUCCACCCCAUAUCA